UGAAUACGAGAUGCUACGGCGUCGAAGCAGUGUAUGUCAGACUUCCAAGAAAAGCUCGCAAUGUCAUAAAUAAAGAAUGCCUGUACCAUAACCGACACAGGUGGGUAGGUAGAGUAUACUAAGGGGCGCGAGAUAACUCUCUCUAAGGAACUCGGCAAAAUAACUCCGUAACUUCGGGAGAAGGAGUGCCUUCUUUAAGAAGGUUGCAAUAACAAGAUCCAAGCAACUGUUUAUCAAAAACACAGGUCUCCGCUAAGUCGUAAGACGAUGUAUGGGGGCUGACGCCUGCCCAGUGCCAGAAGGUUAAAGAAGCUGGUUAGCAAUAGCGAAGCUGGUGACUGAAGCCCUGGUGAACGGCGGCCGUAACAAUAACGGUCCUAAGGUAGCGAAAUUCCUUGUCGGGUAAGUUCCGACCCGCACGAAAGGCGUAAUGAUUUGGAUACUGUCUCGGAGAGGGACUCGGUGAAAUAGACUUGUCUGUGAAGAUGCGGACUACCUGCACCAGGACAGAAAGACCCUAUGAAGCUUUACUGUAACCUGAAAUUGAAAUUGGACUUUAUUUGCGCAGUAUAGGUGUAGGCGUUGAAAGUAAUCUUGCGGGAUUAGUGGAGCCAUCAGUGAGAUACCACUCCUAUAAUGUUAGAUUUCUAACUUUGGAUCAUGAUCUGGUCAAAGAACAGUUUCAGGCGGGCAGUUUGACUGGGGCGGUCGCCUCCCAAAUGGUAACGGAGGCGUACAAAGGUUUCCUCUGAACGGGUAGAAAUCGUAUCUAGAGUGUAAAGGCAUAAGGAAGCUUGACUGUGAGACCUACAAGUCGAGCAGGGACGAAAGUCGGUCUUAGUGAUCUGACGGUGCUGAGUGGAAAGGCCGUCACUCAACGGAUAAAAGUUACUCUAAGGAUAACAGGCUGAUCUCCCCCAAGAGUUCACAUCGACGGGGAGGUUUGGCACCUCGAUGUCGGCUCAUCGCAUCCUGGGGCGGUAGUACGUCCCAAGGGUUGGGCUGUUCGCCCAUGAAAGCGGUACGCGAGCUGGGUUCAGAACGUCGUGAGACAGUUCGGUCAUAUCCGGUGUAGGCGUUAGAAUAUUGAGAGGAGCCUUCUCUAGUACGAGGGGACCGAGAAGGACAUACCUCUGGUGUACCAGUUAUCGUGCCAACGGUAAACCCUGGGUAGCUAUGUAUGGAGAGGAUAACCGCUGAAAGCAUCUAAGUGGGAAGCCCACCUCAAGAUGAGUAUUCUCAG
rnacentral:rRNA from 1 species